rnacentral:rRNA from 1 species
UACGGGGGGGCAAGCGUUGUUCGGAAUUUACUGGGCGUAAAGGCCAGUAGGCGGCCAACUAAGUCCGACGUGAAAUCCCCAGGCUUAACCUGGGGAACUGCGUCGGGAUACUGGGAUGGCUUGAGAUUGGGGAGAGGGAUGCGGAAUUCCAGGUGUAGCGGUGAAAUGCGUAGAUAUCUGGAGGAACACCGGUGGCGAAGGCGGCAUCCUGGACCAACACUGACGCUGAGGAGCGAAAAGCCAGGGGGAGCAAACGGG